UUGGGGUACAUUUUCGUUCUUUCAAGUACAAUUUUGACCCUGUACCUUGUAUUGGUACUAAUAGGUACCAUUUCGGGUACAUAAAUAAUGUACCUUUUCACCAAGGGACCAUAUUGUACCUAUGGGUACAAAAAGCCCAUGGACUGUCACUCAGAAGUUGAUAGGGGAGGAGAUUCGGGCAACCGUUAUUUUUUCGUCUCACUCAAAGUAAUGGAGGAGCAGUUUUCAGCAGAGGAGCUUGGUGUGGGGAAACGUGCUGUGGUGCUGGCAUAAUCUUUAUGGAACAGGAGGCAACGCUAUUCAGAGAUAACCACCAAGGCAGAUUGUUGGCGUGUGGAAGUACCUCUACUCAGAGUGAUAGAGAAAACUAUGGCUCUGCUUUUACUGAAGGAAUGGCUACCGGAGCGGGCAGCUUUAUGAAUAUAAGGUGAAAAGGAUGUAUGGAAAAGUUUUGGGAGAGUCAGACAGUCCACGGAACUUGCAAUGACUUAGCAAUGAUCUAUGCCAGACGUACAACCCCUGCUGUCAUUGGUGAUACCACUGCUUGAAAAUAUGUCAACGUCCUGUAGAUCAAGUAAGGUUCCAGUUGAAGUCCUUCUGAAGAAUUUGUUGGAUUUCUGCCAGUUUUUGAUAUUGAACUUUAGUGCCUGUUGAGACUCUUGGCUUUUUAAUGGCACGCCUCAUUCUACCCAAAUGGAAGGAUUGGAGUGUGUUUAUAUUGUAUAUGUUUAUAGGCUUGCUAAUAUUUGCUUAGGCUUUCACAUUGUUUUCUGAGAUACUACUCAAUGAUGUCAUUGUGACUCAUUGGAUCACACUUCAAGACGCGUAUCUUUUACUCAAUUAGUGUAUGCACUGUGAAUCCAAACAUGAGAAUUCUAAGAUUAUAGCAACUGCAAAGUUACUGCAAGGACAAUGUUAGUUUUGUAAAAACCUUAAGUGACAAGCACAAGAUGCGAUAGUGC